rnacentral:lncRNA from 1 species
AUAAUGUUUCUAGAGUAUUCCAGCUAUAAGUAGAAGUAUGUGAAGGCUUCCCAAAGCCCUAUAAAUAGAGGUUCUCACCUCUACUUUGUAGGCAGACUAUGUACCCCUACCUAUAAUAGAACUUGUUGUUCUUAUCUAAGAUCUUGGAGUAGAUCUUGUGCCCUAGGAGUUCUGGAUAGAACUCUUGCUGCCCUAUCAGCCUACAUUCGCCUCUAGAGCGAUAUCUAGCGCAGCACGUUGAAGCUGUUCCUUCAACACUUGUGUUGUACACAUUGUAGCAGCAAGGUGAAGUUGCUCCUCCACAACCUUUGUGCUGCUUCAAGAAGUGUCGUUGGUUUUAGUUCAAAUUUAUGACAAUUACUUUGGAACGAGGGAGUAUGUGAUUUUAUUAGGAAUUAAGCUGUCAAUUUUACUUUCACCCUUUCAGCUUCAGAAUAUACUACCAACCAAACAGAUGAACAAAACAUUAUGGUCAACAGAAGAGAGGAAAUGCAUACAUCCACAAACUUUUUCCUCUUUCUCUUGUACACUACCUUUCAUCAAAGGCGUAGUACUUUUUGUGAUGGUCUGGAUCACACAAUCUACGUACAAAAUAAAUCUUCAACAAUCAACUAAUGCUUCAUCAGGAUACCAAGCGGAAAUUAGAGCGCAACAGAAUACCCAGAUGAACAAAAGAAAUACUUGUCAACAAAACCAGGAAGCUACACAGGGUUGGUUUUCAUCUGGAAUUCACAACUUGCCUAUUGCGUUAUCAUCUACUAUUGGGUACUUGUUAUCUGCAACGAUCCGUCCUUCUGCAGCUUCAAGCUGAGGCUAGUGAACCGUUCUCUCGAAUAUUGUCUCGAGGCUUUCCUCCAGUCGGUUCCGGCCUUCAUCAUUGCCACAAACUCAUCAAAGCUUAUCUUGCCAUCCUACAAUUCAUGAAUCACAAUGUUCAUCAUUUCAGUCAGAGUCAAAUGAUAGCAAUCAAAAGGAUGAGAAACAAAACUAGUAUGCUUUGCCAACCAGUUGGUGAGUUACCUUAUCAGUGUCUACAUCACGGAUGAUGGCAUUGAUAACCUCUUCAUGAUUUGGUCCCAGAUCAUCAGCUAAUGACUCCCGGAGUUCAUCAAUUUCAAUAUAUCCACUCUUGUUCCGAUCAAAGUAUCCAAAUGCCUUAUGCAGAUGUUCGUCAUUGCCGAUCUUUUUCAGGUGAACAGACAGAGUAACAAAUUCUCCAUAGUCUAAGCACCCAUUUCCAUCAGCGUCAGCCUGGCAUAACAUUCACAUAUGGUAAAUAUAUGAUAAAAAUACCCCUCGCCUUCAACACGUAGUAAUAUGUAGAAAGUGCACCCAUCUAAUGUUAAAUGAUCAUUUCAAGUUCAGGAAAGAAAAACUUAAAAGAACAUUUGCUAUACUGCCUUACAAGCUCCUCACUUAGAGGGGUGUUUCUACAAUCUCUAUCACUAGUAUGCUAACAAUUCCAUUUCAGCCAGUUUACCAGGUAUGAUCUUUGAAUUCUGAUAUGAUACUUAUGAAACUCAGUUGAUAAAAGUGUGGCGAUGGUGAUUCUACAUAGAAACAAAACAUUCCAGUGUAAUAACAAAGAGUUGCAAAAGUUUCUCAGAAUAAAGAAAAAUAAUGAGUACUCACAGCAUCCAUUAGUAUUUGGACAUCUGCAUCAGGCAUUUGGUGGCCAAGUUUAUUCAGACCAAGCUUCAGUUCAUCAAAAUUAAUCAUACUGUCUUUGUUCAGGUCCAUCUUUUCAAACAUAUCCUUUAUGCCGGCCACCUCUUCUACCGAAAGAUGCUCAGCUAUGACCUGUAAUAAAUACAAAUAUGUAAGCAAAUUCCUAGAAAGCAAGUCUAACGUGAAAGAGGAUUGGUUCAAGUCAGACUGAGGUAUACCCUAAGUGCAUGCUUCUUGAACUUGUUCAUCACAGAGAACUGUUGAAGUCUGGCCUUAACUGUCUCACCCAAAUUGACAUUUGGAGCCUUCUUAAUAUUCUGCAACCAGGGAUGAUCUGGAAGAAAAUACAAAUUAUGGACGUGAGACACAAGCAAUGCAAUUAAAUUAUCUUGGGGCGGAAAUCAUCUGAAAUUUACACAAGGUAUGUAAUUCUGUAUCCGUUUAAGAAGAACAGAGGAAUGCAAUACAGUACAGUUAACUUGUGGAAAUCUGAUUAUUACCAAGCACUUGCUGAGCUGUCAAACGCCUCCUUGGAUCUGGGUUAAGCAUUCCCCUGACAAGGUCUUUUGCAUUAUCUGAGACCCUAGGCCAUGGAUCUCUUUUAAAGUCAAUGACAGACCGGAUAAUUGCUUGAGCAACACCUUGCUCAGUUUCUGCAUUAUAAAAUGGAAGCAACAAACAUAUUACUUAGAAAGAGCAUUCAAUAGGACAAGAUAAAUAUAUUUUUCUCAACCACAGUCCACAGGCCAGUCACCCCAGAGGCAAAAUAAGGAAAACAAAACUUCAGUGUAGAAGGUGACACAUGGCCCCUUUGUGCAGACAGGACAUAAGAACACACUCCACUUUUAGUAUCCUAAAUGUUUAAUGUAGUUGACUGAUGCCACCAAAACAAUUGACCAUUUUCAGGUACAAAACUGACCUGCCCAGAAUGGAGGGACACCACAAAGAAGGAUGUAAAGAAUCACUCCUGCACUCCAAACAUCAACCUCUUGGCCAUAGUUUCUCUUUAACACCUCUGGAGCCAUGUAAUAAGGACUUCCAACAAUCUCAGUGAACCGUUCACCUACACAUCACGAACAGUUAGCACAUUAGGCAAACAAUACAAGGCAAAAAUAGACAGCAUAAGACAGGCUACUAUAUCAGCUCUGUCCUCUGACAAUAUCAUCGACAAAUAUAGAUUGUACCUGGAGUGAAAAAAACAGACAGGCCAAAAUCAAUUGCUUUCAGCGCCGCGGUUUCUUUCUUGUUUGCAAACAAGAAAUUCUCUGGUUUGAGGUCCCGGUGCAUCACUCCAUGCUUAUGGCACAUCUGAUAUUGUGAACAAAUGUACACACGUUAUUCACUAAACAGACAAAAAAGGGAAGUUGCAGCAAUCUAACUACUACUGCCAAGCUAAAGAUGUGGUCCUUGAUAAGCUAAUAGCCCGAAUGACAACAGCAAAUGCAGAAAUUGAUUGCUUCACAGGAUCGAUCGUAACCUAUUCAAUGAAACAUAUAGACACCAGAAUCAUGUGACAGGUAGCCAACAAAUAUUUCCACGGUGGAUCACAUCACAGAAUGAACGCAUCCCGUGAGUGUGAGGACAAGCUUAGCCAAAAGGCAAAGGAAGGAAUCAAGGGGGUAUUUAUUCUCA